rnacentral:sRNA from 1 species
UGGAAAUGAGGCUGCACCUACGGAGUGCAA